GACGCUGGCGGCGUGCCUAAUACAUGCAAGUCGAACGGUCUUUCUAUGGAAGCUUGCUUCCACUGAGAAGAUAGUGGCGAACGGGUGAGUAACACGUGGGUAACCUGCCCAUAAGAGGGGGAUAACAUCCGGAAACGGGUGCUAAUACCGCAUAGUUUUCUUGAUUGCAUGAUUGAGAAAGGAAAGACGGCCUUUGUGCUGUCGCUUAUGGAUGGACCCGCGGCGUAUUAGUUAGUUGGUGAGGUAACGGCUCACCAAGACGAUGAUACGUAGCCGACCUGAGAGGGUGAUCGGCCACAUUGGGACUGAGACACGGCCCAAACUCCUACGGGAGGCAGCAGUAGGGAAUCUUCCGCAAUGGACGAAAGUCUGACGGAGCAACGCCGCGUGAGUGAAAGAAGGUUUUCGGAUCGUAAAACUCUGUUGUCAGAGAAGAACAAGUUGGAGAGUAACUGCUCCAGCCUUGACGGUAUCUGACCAGAAAGCCACGGCUAACUACGUGCCAGCCGCCGC
rnacentral:rRNA from 1 species